AGAAGGUGAAACGAAAUAGUGGCAUGCCUUUGAAAAAAUGAAAAGUUCUUCCCGUCUGUAUCGGAAACUGCGAGGGAAGAGCCUGCACCUUUAAGAACUUGCUCCUGUUCAUGCUGAAGGCACAAAAAGAAGGAAGGAACAUGUAUUUGUUAAGGAACAAAUGAGUGUGGGGGAGCAGUGGCACCAUGGCCAAUUGGCUGCUGGGCACGAUUGUGCCCACAUGAAGAGCAAGGCUGGAUGAAGGUCAAGACAGCCCUGACGUAAAUACCAGCAGGAGCCUAAAUCACCUGAAGCAAACAGAGCCAUGGAUAUUGUCUGGAAGCAACAAUCAAAC